AGGCCUUCUAAAUCUUGCUGUGUCAUAAGUCUAAUUCCUAUCUCUUCUGAUGGAAAAUGUGAAAAAUCUAUGAUAAGAACACAGGUAUUCUCAGCACAGUAUUUUUCAAAGCCUCAGUGCCUCACAAUAGGAUUGUUUUGCAGGAAUUUUUUCUAGGCUCCUCUCAUAUCCAGUUGCUGAGGUACUGGGGUUUUACUCUUAUCACACUGUGCUGUCAGAAAGUUAGGUCUUUCUUCUGGAGGGUGACCCUGACAAAAACCAAGUGGUAAUUAUAAUAGAAAACUGUAAGAAAAAACGCUCCCCCAGAGACGUGGAAACAGGGCCUCAGAUGUCAACUCAGAAGUAGGUGCUGAGAGCAAAGAUGGAGCACCAUAUGCACACGUUGGAAAUGAACUGUGGAAAAGGCUGUACUUCUCUUUCAGAGGGAGUUUGAGUUAGCCUCCAACAACUUAGCUGUAGGCAGAAAACCCAGUUGUGGCCCUAGGUCCAAAAACCUGCGGUGGCAAGUAUGGGCUUUGUCUGCUGGGUUCAGGAUGAUUUCACUUCUCGCCUAGUUUUUACGAAGCAGUCACAGUUUAAAAUAACUAGUGACCCACAAACUGCCAAAUAAGAAUGUUUAACAUAAUGUGGUAGGUACUGAGUGUUUCUUUUGUAAAAGGAAAUGUAAUGUCAUUGACAGAUAAAAAGGGAAAUAUUCCAGUGGUCUUUGAGAUAAAACUAGAUUCUCUUGUACUUGAGUAAUUUUCCUCGCUGGGUGCUGGUAAUAAUAAGCCCAUUGCCCGUCCCCUGACUGUGACUCUCCUGAAUCCACAGCUUUGAUUGGAAACUCUCAACCCCUGACUGGCCUCAGGAGCACUGAUUACGGGAGGCACCCCACACACUUCCCUCGUAAACAUUUGGCAGAUCAGGAAGUGCUGAAAAGCGAUGCCCCUGGCUCUCAGAAGAGGGUACUGGUGGGAGAAGAAAUAGAACAUUUUCCCUCUUGCAGCUGUCAGAGAGUGAUUAUGUCAAAUGGGUUUUCAAGGAGCCACAAAGUAAUUACAGGGUAACUUCUUGACAUUAUUUUCCAGUGUUUGACUCAGCAGAUGAUGAUGAUUAAUUGAUGUGUAUUAUUUUAUGGCUCUCUGAAACUUUGUUUGAUACUUUAGAUAGAGGUCAGACUAAGUCUUCAUUUAGACUAACAUAGCAAGUCUGCCUUAAAUUUUAACAUGUUAAUGCUCCCUUUGUGAUAGAUGAUUUCCUAAACUUCUGGUGGCUAAGAGAUGCUAUAUUUUGGACUGCCUUUUUCAUGUUGUUUUCAUGUGCUUUAAAGUAGCGUUUUAUGCUUUUAUUAAGCUAAUACUCUGGAUUUGUGGGGUUAUGGUGAGACAUAAAUGAGCUAAAUCACAAAAUUAAAAAUAAUAUCUGGCACAUGGUGAAUUGCAGCUAUAUUGAAACAUAAUUUCAAAAAGAUGUUUUAAACUUCAAAAAGGUAUUUUCUUGUACACUUAGUAAUGUUUUGGUUGAAUUAGCAGGGAAGAUUCUGACACCCUGCUUGUUUUCUGUAGUUAUGUUAUGUUAGUGCUGGCCUGUUGGUUUACAUGCUUUUAUUAAUUUUAAAUAAAUUUAAAAUAGGUGGGAUUGUUUAGAUACAACGGACUUGGAAUACAUUUUUAUUUCAGGUCCUUUUCCAGGGCGUACCUUGUAUAAAUGUCUGUAAUUGAUCUAUUCCAAGCAAGGAAUUAGUUCAGAUUGGCCAAGAUCUGGACAUUCAUGACAGGUAUAAUAGAAAUUAAGACCUUAAUUAAAAAUAGUAAGUAAUAAAUAGAGUAGAGCUUUUAUUAUUUUACUGUUUGUAAAUUGUAAACAUAUUUUUUCAACUCAGAGUUGUCAGUGAUAUGAGAAGUGUUUCGUGAUCUUCUUAGACUUUCAUUAGCUUGUAUACUAAAAGAUGUCUCAUAGGCAAAAUGUUUUUUAUGAGAAAAAUGGAAGUGUCUGAUACAACACUUUACAUUCAGCCUAAAUAGAAAAAAAACUGUCUUAAGUUUCAUUUUUGUCUUUGUUCAAUAUCAGAUAAUUUCUAUUUGCUGACCCCAAACUAGUCACCAAAAAAUAACUAUUGCAUGGGGUGCUUAGCUGGCUCAAUCCGAAGAGCUUGCGACUCUUGAUUUUGGGAUUGUGAGUUCGAGACCCACACUGGGUGUGGGGAUUACU